ACGGGUGAGUAACACGUGGGAACGUGCCCUUUGGUACGGAACAACUGAGGGAAACUUCAGCUAAUACCGUAUGUGCCCUUCGGGGGAAAGAUUUAUCGCCAUUGGAGCGGCCCGCGUUGGAUUAGGUAGUUGGUGAGGUAAAGGCUCACCAAGCCUACGAUCCAUAGCUGGUCUGAGAGGAUGAUCAGCCACACUGGGACUGAGACACGGCCCAGACUCCUACGGGAGGCAGCAGUAGGGAAUCUUGCGCAAUGGGCGAAAGCCUGACGCAGCCAUGCCGCGUGAAUGAUGAAGGUCUUAGGAUUGUAAAAUUCUUUCACCGGGGACGAUAAUGACGGUACCCGGAGAAGAAGCCCCGGCUAACUUCGUGCCAGCAGCCGCGGUAAUACGAAGGGGGCUAGCGUUGCUCGGAAUUACUGGGCGUAAAGGGCGCGUAGGCGGAUAGUUUAGUCAGAGGUAAAAGCCCAGGGCUCAACCUUGGAACUGCCUUUGAUACUGGCUAUCUUGAGUACGGGAGAGGUGUGUGGAACUCCGAGUGUAGAGGUGAAAUUCGUAGA
rnacentral:rRNA from 1 species